GAGGGUAUAGCUCAGUGGUAGAGCACGCGCUUCCCAUGCACGAGGUCCUGGGUUCAAUCCCCAGAACUUCCA
rnacentral:tRNA from 1 species